GACAGAGGUGCCGAGCGUUAGGCGGAAUCACUGGGCUUAAAGCGUGUGUAGGCGGGUCGUUAAGUGUCUUGUGAAAUCCCCCGGCUCAACCGGGGAAUGGCUGGGCAUACUGGCGAUCUUGAGCAGUCUAGGGGCAGAUGGAACAAGUGGUGGAGCGGUGAAAUGCGCAGAUAUCAGGAGGAACACCGGUGGCGAAGGCGGGUCUCUGGGCCGAUACUGACGCUGAGGAGCGAAAGCGUGGGGAGCGAACAGG
rnacentral:rRNA from 1 species